UACAAUUUUAUUUUUUAUUAAUGUUAUUUGAACGCGCUGCUUGUCUCCGGAUACGUUAAUUUAGCACGGUGGUAUUUUUUAUUCUUUCAAUUCCAUCAAAUUUUCUCAAAUCAAGUCCGCGUUACGAACCUGUGCCGUUUUUGGUUAGCUACAGCGAAAGGGAACCUAAAUCUCAUCGUUCUCAAUCGCGAACGCGAUCAGAUAAAAACAUAUUUAUUGAUAUACAUGUACAUACAUAUGUAUUAUUACAUCAAUUUUUAAUUUAGAAUCAAAAUUUAAUUUAAUUCAUAAUUUUAUAUAAGGUGGAUUCAAAUAUGGCGCAUUAUUAUUUAACCAUAACUAUCGAGAUCGAUAAUCGAUAUUUCGAUGCUUAAUCGAUACCAUCGUCGGCGGCAAUUGUUUUUGGCGGUUGGUUUUCGUUCAUCGUUCUUGCUGUCGGCGUCCUUUUUGGGUGAGUUAAAAAGCUUUGAAUUUCAUUGAUACUGAUCAAUUACCAAUAAAGUUUUAUCGCCGGACACCAUGCGGUGAUCUGCGUGUAUCGGAAUUUCAACGGCAGGUCAAAAUAUCGUCAUAAAGUGAAGGGACGAUCGUACAGCGAAGCGACAGUUUUCCACGCGCGUGGUGUGUGAUGGUAUUGGGAUUGGUUUUGUUGUAUAUUUCCUAUCCUAAGUUUAAAUAUGUUGGAAUAUUAAUCGUAACGGUCAAACAGACGUAGUUACAAUUUAGGAAUUCGUUCAUUUUCAGUUUGGUGGUUUUGGAGGAUCGACUUGGACCGAUAUUUUCAACAUCAUUCAGCCUUGAUUCCGAUAACUUGGUGCAGUUGCAUACAGAGUGCGUGGUCAGUUCGAUCAUGAAAAAUUGUAAAUUGCGGUGAUGAAUUUCGAUGUACCUGUUGCCGCAAUUCACGAUGCUGCGAGUGCACUCGAACAUCCGGAAUAACGUAGUCCGGUUAGUAAGAAUCGGACGAUGAUCCCGACGACGAGUUUACCGGACUUGUACUUAUCAGGGAUACGGCAGCGUCCGAGAGGCCAGUCGGUCUCGAUUUACUGUUACCCUGCAACGUGGACGAACAACCGGACGACGACGACGACGAGGAGGAGGACGACGAGGAGGAGGAGGAGGACGAGGAGGAGGACGACGAAUUGUUCAC